UACGAAGGUCCCGAGCGUUGUUCGGAAUUACUGGGCGUAAAGGGCGCGUAGGCGGCACAGCAAGUCGGGAGUGAAAGCCCGGGGCUCAACCCCGGAACUGCUUUCGAAACUGCUGAGCUAGAGUACAGAAGGGGCAACCGGAAUUCCCAGUGUAGCGGUGAAAUGCGUAGAUAUUGGGAAGAACACCUGAGGCGAAGGCGGGUUGCUGGGCUGAUACUGACGCUGAGGCGCGAAAGCCAGGGGAGCAAACGGG
rnacentral:rRNA from 1 species